rnacentral:tRNA from 1 species
GCCCAGGUGGCGGAAUUGGUAGACGCGCUAGGUUGAGGGCCUAGUGCCUGUUUUGGGCGUAGGGGUUCGACUCCCCUCUUGGGCA